GCAGUAGCCGCGGGAAUACGGAGGGGGCUAGCGUUGUUCGGAAUUACUGGGCGUAAAGCGUACGUAGGCGGCUUUGUAAGUUAGAGGUGAAAGCCUGGUGCUCAACACCAGAACUGCCUUUAAGACUGCAUCGCUUGAACGUCGGAGAGGUGAGUGGAAUUCCGAGUGUAGAGGUGAAAUUCGUAGAUAUUCGGAAGAACACCAGUGGCGAAGGCGGCUCACUGGACGACUGUUGACGCUGAGGUACGAAAGCGUGGGGAGCAAACAGGAUUAGAUACCCCUGUAGUCCCUGUCUCUUAUAC
rnacentral:rRNA from 1 species